rnacentral:rRNA from 1 species
UGGGGGAUAUUGCACAAUGGGCGAAAGCCUGAUGCAGCGACGCCGCGUGGGGGAUGAAGGCCUUCGGGUUGUAAACUUCUUUUGCUCUGAACAAGGCAUGCUAAUGGGUGUGUUGAGUGUAGGGGUUGAUUAGCGCCGGCUAACUACGUGCCAGCAGCCGCGGUAAUACGUAGGGCGCGAGCGUUGUCCGGAAUUAUUGGGCGUAAAGGGCUUGUAGGUGGCUGGUUGCGUCUGUCGUGAAAGCUGAUGGCUUAACUGUGGGUUUGCGGUGGGUACGGGCUGGCUUGAGUGCAGUAGGGGAGGCUGGAAUUCCUGGUGUAGCGGUGGAAGGCGCAGAUAUCAGGAGGAGUACCGGUGGCGAAGGCGGGUCUCUGGGCUGUUACUGACACUGAGGAGCGAAAGCAUGGGGAGCGAACAGG